CUUAAUACACGACUGUGCUUUCUCCUUAAAUAAAUUUUACCAGAUAGAUUUCUUAUAUUGAUCCAACUUUGUGGUCCAUAAAGCAGAACAUCUCACAGCAUGCCUCUUGACCGGGAGCCUGAUGGAUGUCAUGGAUGCCUGGAAGAAUACGUGAUCCUUUAUCGACCUAUUGAUGCAAUGAAUACCUGUCCAUCUGAGAAGAGAUGUUGUCAUUAGGGAAGGCUGAGAAUUUCAUUAUGGUCCUCAAUUUGAAGCAAAGUACCUUCACUUGGCACCUCCUGAAAGAACAUAUGCAUCAGAAAUAUAUUAUCCUUUGGAUGUCAGAGCUUUCUGAAUAUUAUUGUGUGGUUCUUGGCUCAAAAAUGUAUACAACAGCAUAAUAAAUUGUACAAUGAGUUUUAUCAGUA